rnacentral:rRNA from 1 species
UACGGAGGAUCCGAGCGUUAUCCGGAUUUAUUGGGUUUAAAGGGUGCGUAGGUGGAUUGGUAAGUCAGUGGUGAAAGUUUGCAGCUUAACUGUAAAAUUGCCGUUGAAACUGCCGGUCUUGAGUGCAAAUGAGGUAGGCGGAAUGCGUCGUGUAGCGGUAAAAUGCUUAGAUAUGACGCAGAACUCCGAUUGCGAAGGCAGCUUACUGGGAUGCAACUGACGCUGAGGCACGAAAGCGUGGGUAUCAAACAGGAUUAGAUACCCU